CAGCAGCCACGGUAAUACGUAGGUGGCAAGCGUUGUCCGGAAUUAUUGGGCGUAAAGCGCGCGCAGGUGGUUUAAUAAGUCUGAUGUGAAAGCCCACGGCUCAACCGUGGAGGGUCAUUGGAAACUGUUAAACUUGAGUGCGGGAGAGAAAAGUGGAAUUCCUAGUGUAGCGGUGAAAUGCGUAGAGAUUAGGAGGAACACCAGUGGCGAAGGCGGCUUUUUGGCCUGUAACUGACACUGAGGCGCGAAAGCGUGGGGAGCAAACAGGAUUAGAUACCCCUGUAGUCCCUGUCUCUUAUAC
rnacentral:rRNA from 1 species